UACGGAGGAUGCAAGCGUUAUCCGGAAUGAUUGGGCGUAAAGCGUCCGCAGGUGGCUAUGUAAGUCUGCUGUUAAAGAGUCUAGCUCAACUAGAUAAGAGCAGUGGAAACUACAAGGCUAGAGUACGUUCGGGGCAGAGGGAAUUCCUGGUGUAGCGGUGAAAUGCGUAGAGAUCGGGAGGAACACCUGUGGCGAAGGCGGCCGACUGGGCCGACCCUGACGCUGAGGCGCGAAGGCGUGGGGAGCGAACGGG
rnacentral:rRNA from 1 species